UACAGAGGUCCCAAGCGUUGUUCGGAUUCACUGGGCGUAAAGGGUGCGUAGGCGGUCGGGUAAGUCUGAUGUGAAAUCUCCAAGCUCAACUUGGAAAUGGCAUCGGAUACUAUCCGGCUUGAGGAGUGGAGGGGGGACUGGAAUUCUCGGUGUAGCAGUGAAAUGCGUAGAUAUCGAGAGGAACACCAGUGGCGAAGGCGAGUCCCUGGACACUUCCUGACACUGAGGCACGAAAGCUAGGGGAGCAAACAGG
rnacentral:rRNA from 1 species